GAGGGUAUAGCUCAGUGGUAGGGUGUGUGCUUAGCAUCCGUAAGGUCCUGGGUUUAAUCCCCAGUACCUCCA
rnacentral:tRNA from 1 species